AGUGAACGCUGGCGGUAGGCCUAACACAUGCAAGUCGAACGGCAGCACAGUAAGAGCUUGCUCUUACGGGUGGCGAGUGGCGGACGGGUGAGGAAUACAUCGGAAUCUACUUUUUCGUGGGGGAUAACGUAGGGAAACUUACGCUAAUACCGCAUACGACCUACGGGUGAAAGCAGGGGAUCUUCGGACCUUGCGCGAUUGAAUGAGCCGAUGUCGGAUUAGCUAGUUGGCGGGGUAAAGGCCCACCAAGGCGACGAUCCGUAGCUGGUCUGAGAGGAUGGUCAGCGACCCUGGAACUGAGACACGGUCCAGACUCCUACGGGAGGCCGCAGUGGGGAAUAUUGGACAAUGGGCGCAAGCCUGGUCCAGCCAUACCGCGUGGGUGAAGAAGGCCUUCGGGUUGUAAAGCCCUUUUGUUGGGAAAGAAAAGCAGCAGGUUAAUACCCCGCUGUUCUGACGGUACCCAAAGAAUAAGCACCGGCUAACUUCGUG
rnacentral:rRNA from 1 species